AAUGCACCAAUUUGUAAGUCGCUUGGGAUAAGAGCGUCUGCUAAAUGACGUAAA
rfam:Salmo salar isolate Sally breed double haploid chromosome ssa01, whole genome shotgun sequence.